AUGUUGGUUUCUCCAACUAUCCGCAACCUCAAGAUCACGAAGAUGCUAGUUGACAGUGGGACCGGCUUGAACCUGAUAUCCUCCACGGUCCUCCAGAAACUCCAGAUCCCUGACAGCGAGCUCGAGGAGACCGGCACGUUCCAAGGAAUCAGCCUGGGAAGGAGCAAACCGAAGGGAAAGAUCACGCUGCCCGUCACAUUUGGCAGCGAGCUGAACUUUAAAACUGAGAGGGUCACUUUUGAUGUUGCCGACUUUCCAUUACCCUACAAUGGGAUCCUUGGCCGUCCGGCGCUCGCCAAGGUCAUGGCAGCCUCUCACUAUGCAUACAACAUGCUCAAGAUGCCAGGCCUGAUAAGUGUCAUUUCUGUCCCUGGCGACAAGAAAGAUUCCCUUGUCUGCGCCGACAAGAUUUAUCGGGAGGCAGCAGCCGCAGCUGAUCGCGAGUCACUUGCCGCUGAAGCUCCCGGGGGGAAGAAGAAGACUAAGUCCGGCAAGAGCUCUGAUGCCCACUCCGGCAAGCGCACCUCUUCGGAGUGCUGCGCUACCGUCGAGGACGCACCAUCGAGCUCCACCGGCAAGUUUAAGAAGACGAUGGCAGCUCCACCAGAGACCAAGAAGGUGUCCGCCAAGGAGGACGGCACUGGUGGUACCUUCACCAUCAGUGCCACUCUCGACCCCAAAUAG
rnacentral:rRNA from 1 species